rnacentral:lncRNA from 1 species
UCUUCGUGUUCCGAUUUCAUCAAAAUAAAACCAGAAUAAAACCAGCAGAACCAGCACAGAACCAUCAGAAUAAAACCAGAAACACAUCAAAAUAAAACCAGAAUAAAACCAGCAGAACCAGCACAGAACCAGCAGAAUAAAACCAGCAGCACAUCAAAAUAAAACCAGAACAAAACCAGCAGAACCAGCAGAAUAAAACCAGCAGAACAUCAAAAUAAAACCAGAAUAAAACCAGCAGAACCAGCACAGAACCAACAGAAUAAAACCAGCAGCACAUCAAAAUAAAACCAGAAUAAAACCAGCAGAACCAGCACAGAACCAACAGAAUAAAACCAGCAGCACAUCAAAAUAAAACCAGAAUAAAACCAGCAGAACCAGC